UACGUAGGGUGCAAGCGUUAAUCGGAAUUACUGGGCGUAAAGCGUGCGCAGGCGGUUUUGUAAGUCUGACGUGAAAUCCCCGGGCUCAACCUGGGAAUUGCGUUGGAGACUGCAAGGCUGGAGUCUGGCAGAGGGGGGUAGAAUUCCACGUGUAGCAGUGAAAUGCGUAGAGAUGUGGAGGAACACCGAUGGCGAAGGCAGCCCCCUGGGUCAAGACUGACGCUCAAGCACGAAAGCGUGGGGAGCAAACAGG
rnacentral:rRNA from 1 species